GUGGCUGUGGCUCAGUGGUAAAGUGCUUGCCCCAUGUGUAUGAGGUACUGAGUUCAAUCCUCAGCACCACA
rfam:Ictidomys tridecemlineatus contig036484, whole genome shotgun sequence.